rnacentral:rRNA from 1 species
CAGGUUGAAGCAUGACCGUAAGGACAUGUGGACAGUAUACGAGUGAGAAUGUUGGCAUGAGUAGCGAGACGUGGGUGAGAAUCCCACGGGCCGUAAACCCAAGGUUUCCAGGGGAAGGUUCGUCCGCCCUGGGUUAGUCAGGACCUAAGCCGAGGCCGAAAGGCGUAGGUGAUGGACAACAGGUUGAUAUUCCUGUACCGCCAAUAAGCGUUUGAGAGAAGGGAUGACACAGUAGGAUAAGCUAACCGCACUGUUGGUUAUGUGCGGGCAAGCAUUGAGGCAGUCUAGACAGGCAAAUCCGUCUAGAUAAUGCUGGGAUGUGACGCGGAGCGAAAUUAAGUAGCGAAGUAGCUGAUUUCACACUGUCGAGAAAAGUCUCUAUCGAGUUUAAAGGCGCCUGUACCGCAAACCGACACAGGUGGGUGAGGAGAAUAUCCUAAGGCCAGCGAGAGAACUGUUGUUAAGGAACUCGGCAAAAUGACCCCGUAACUUCGGGAGAAGGGGUGCCUGCUUAUGCAGGCCGCAGAGAAUAGGCCCAAGCGACUGUUUACCAAAAACACAGGUUUCUGCUAAGUCGCAAGACGAUGUAUAGGAGCUGACGCCUGCCCGGUGCUGGAAGGUUAAGGGGAUCUGUUAGA